UACGUAGGGGGCUAGCGUUGUCCGGAUUUAUUGGGCGUAAAGAGCGUGUAGGCGGCCAGGUAGGUCUGCUGUGAAAACUCGAGGCUCAACCUCGAGACGUCGGGGGAAACCAUCUGGCUAGAGUCCGGAAGAGGAGAGUGGAAUUCCUGGUGUAGCGGUGAAAUGCGCAGAUAUCAGGAAGAACACCCGUGGCGAAGGCGGCUCUCUGGGACGGUACUGACGCUGGGACGCGAAAGCGUGGGGGAGCGAACAGG
rnacentral:rRNA from 1 species